rnacentral:rRNA from 1 species
AGAGUUUGAUCCUGGCUCAGAAUCAAUGCUGGCGGCGUGCCUAACACAUGCAAGUCGAACGCGACUGGGGCUUCGGCCUCAGUUGAGUGGCGAACGGGUGAGUAACACGUGGGUGACCUACCUUCGAGUGGGGGAUAACGUCCCGAAAGGGACGCUAAUACCGCAUAACAUCCUGCCUUUGAACAGGCGGAGAUCAAAGCUGGGGAUCGCAAGACCUGGCGCUUGAUGAGGGGCCCGCGUCCGAUUAGCUAGUUGGUGAGGUAAUGGCUCACCAAGGCAACGAUCGGUAGCCGGCCUGAGAGGGCGGACGGCCACACUGGGACUGAGACACGGCCCAGACUCCUACGGGAGGCAGCAGUGGGGAAUAUUGGACAAUAGGGGAAACCCUGAUCCAGCGACGCCGCGUGGGUGAUGAAGGCCUUCGGGUCGUAAAGCCCUGUCUGGGGGGACGAACCCUCCGCCGGUGAACAAUCGGCGGAGCUGACGGUACCCCCGAAGGAAGCACCGGCUAACUCUGUGCCAGCAGCCGCGGUAAGACAGAGGGUGCGAGCGUUGUUCGGAAUUACUGGGCGUAAAGGGCGCGUAGGCGGUCUGUUAAGUUCGGUGUGAAAGCCCUCGGCUCACCCGAGGAAGUGCGCCGGAUACUGGCAGACUCGAGUACCGGAGAGGAGGGUGGAAUUCCUGGUGUAGCGGUGAAAUGCGUAGAUAUCAGGAGGAACACCGGUGGCGAAGGCGGCCCUCUGGACGAGUACUGACGCUGAGGCGCGAAAGCGUGGGGAUCAAACAGGAUUAGAUACCCCGGUAGUCC